GGGGAGCUCCAGAGAUAUAAUGGAUUGUCAUGAGGAUGAGGACUGUACUCCCUUCAAAGGCAGUCUGAAUACAAAUAAUGUACCAGGCCAGAAGAUUCUGCUGGCAGUCCUGCUGAUGUGGUCAGAAUGAAAUACCUCAAGGGAGCAUGUAAUCAUCACCAAUAGGCAGGUUCGCACAACAUGGAGAAUCCGGAACCACCAGUUUCUGGAGUGCAACCAUGAGCCUGACUUCCAGUGUUGGGACAGUUAUGCAGAUAUUGGACAUUUUGUCUGAACCUGCCGAUGUCAUAAUAAUCAUAUAACAAGUGAUGGCCCAAUACCAUCCUUAAUAGUCAGAAUUCCGCAGAAUUUGAGGACAUUAUUCCACUUCCAUGCAUCAUCGUCGUCAUUAUCAACAACAGAUGGAAAUGGCUGCUUUGGCUACUUUUUAAAGUUAGUUGAAAGUGUUGCAAGAAAGGCUUCUCUUCCUAUGGUCAGGGGUUAGCAAGGUUGGAAUGGGCCCAGAGACAAAAUGGCCCCCCACCUCACUGAAGCUCAGCUGAAUAGUGGUAACAAAAAGCAUGUGUGUGUGUGUGUGUAUACACACACACACACUAGAGAAAGACAUGCUGUUCUGGUAGCUCCAGGUCUUAACACUCACAUCAGUUUUGGAGGAUGACUGCAACUUAAGGAAGCCUGGGCGGGUGCUUGGCUGGGGGAGUCAGUCAUGUGACUUGCCUCUGGGGGGUCCCCAAGGCAGUGGGCCCCCAGACAACUGUCGCCCCUUGCCCUAUUAUAGUUAUGCCCCUGCCUAUGUUGUACAGGUGUAAUUUGUUUGUCCUACUGUUAUCUCUGAUCAAACAGGCUUUUGAAAAUGCUGUACAUCUGCUGAUCACCUCCAGACUUGAUUACUGCAAUGCACUCUAUGUGAGGCUGCCUUUGUAUGUAGUCCGGAAACUGCAGUUAGUCCAGAAUGUGGCAACCAGUUUGGUCUCCGGGUCAUCUUGGAGAGACCAUAUAACUCCUAUCUUAAAAGAUCUACACUGGCUGCCGAUAUGUUUCUGGGCAAAAUACUUGGUUAUAACCUAUAAAGCCCUAAACAGAUUUGGUCCUGGGUUUUAAGAGAAAGUCUUCUUUGCUAUGAACCACACCACCCAUUGAUAUCAUCUGGAGAGGUUCAUCUGUAGUUGCCACCGGCUCGUCUGGUGGCUACUCAGGGAUGGGCCUUCUCCAUUGCUGCCCCAGGGCUUUGGAACACAUUUCCUGCUGAAAUAAGAGCCUCCCCAUCUCUUACAACUUUUAAAAAGGCAGUUGAGCCACAUUUGUUCACCCAGACUUUUAAUUAGCUAUUGUUUUAAUUGUGUUUUAAUAGUUUGAAUGUUUUAAAUUUUAAUUGUUGAAAUGUUUUAAUAUUUUUAUUGGUUGUUUUUAUUGUUUUGUUGUAAACCACCCAGAGAACUUGCGUUUUGGGUGGUAUAAAAAUGUGUUAAGUAAAUAAAUAAAGGUAGGGGUUGCCAA